rnacentral:lncRNA from 1 species
GGUGGGGUGGAUUUGCCUUUAUUUAGGGCUGGUCAACUUUUCCUAAUCGAGGACACACAAGGUCAUUGGUGAGGUGAUAAUACAGGGGUCAUGAUGACCAUCCGUCAGGAACCAGUAGAAGUGUCCUGAAAGGGCUCGGAAUUGUUUGACGCUGGAAUGAUUUUGUUACCGCACUAACUUUGGGGUAUAAUGAGUGGUUUUCACGGGGACGUGAUCUGUUGCUGACGUGUAAGUAACAGACGUGUUACUGACUCGUCCUUACGCAGGUCCCCCGUCUCCCGCCAUCGCACAGGCUCCUUCUGCACCCG